GAUGAACGCUGGCGGCGUGCUUAACACAUGCAAGUCGAACGAAGCACUUUAACCUGAUUCUUCGGAUGAAGGUUUUUGUGACUGAGUGGCGGACGGGUGAGUAACGCGUAGGUAACCUGCCUCAUACAGGGGGAUAACAGUUAGAAAUGACUGCUAAUACCGCAUAAGACCACAGAGCCGCAUGGCUCGGUGGGAAAAACUCCGGUGGUAUGAGAUGGACCCGCGUCUGAUUAGGUAGUUGGUGGGGUAACGGCCUACCAAGCCAACGAUCAGUAGCCGACCUGAGAGGGUGACCGGCCACAUUGGGACUGAGACACGGCCCAAACUCCUACGGGAGGCAGCAGUGGGGAAUAUUGCACAAUGGGGGAAACCCUGAUGCAGCGACGCCGCGUGAGCGAAGAAGUAUUUCGGUAUGUAAAGCUCUAUCAGCAGGGAAGAAAAUGACGGUACCUGACUAAGAAGCACCGGCUAAAUACGUG
rnacentral:rRNA from 1 species